UACGUAGGGUGCAAGCGUUAAUCGGAAUUACUGGGCGUAAAGCGCACGUAGGUGGUUUGCUAAGUCAGCUGUGAAAUCCCCGGGCUCAACCUGGGCACUGCAGUUGAAACUGGCAAGCUAGAGUAGGGUAGAGGGGGGUGGAAUUCCGCGUGUAGCAGUGAAAUGCGUAGAGAUGCGGAGGAACACCGAUGGCGAAGGCAGCCCCCUGGGCUAGCACUGACGCUCAGGCACGAAAGCGUGGGGAGCAAACAGG
rnacentral:rRNA from 1 species